AGCCUGCCCAGUGACUAAGUUAAACGGCCGCGGUACCCUAACCGUGCAAAGGUAGCGCAAUCACUUGUUCUUUAAAUGAGGACUAGUAUGAACGGCAUCACGAGGGUUAUACUGUCUCCCUAUUCCAAUCAGUGAAACUGAUCUUCCCGUGAAGAAGCGGGAAUAAAUAUAUAAGACGAGAAGACCCCAUGGAGCUUUAAACUCAGUACCACCUGCUAUUUUCAAACCCUAUUAAUCACGCAGAAAUGGUAACUAGUUUUCGGUUGGGGUGACCGCGGAGCAAAACAAAACCUCCACAACGAAAGGAACUAACAACCUAAUCCAAGAGCAACAUCUCUAAGAAUUAAAAAAUUAACUUAAUUGAUCCAAUUACUUGAUCAACGAACCAAGUUACCCUGGGGAUAACAGCGCAAUCCAUUUAAAGAGCUCUUAUCGACAAAUGGGUUUACGACCUCGAUGUUGGAUCAGGGUAUCCCAGUGGCGCAGCAGCUACUAAAGGUUCGUUUGUUCAACGAUUAAA
rnacentral:rRNA from 1 species